UACAGAGGAGCCAAGCGUUGUCCGGAUUGACUGGGCGUAAAGCGCACGCAGGCGGUCUGGCGCGUGGGGUGUGAAAUCUGGCCGCUUAACGGCCAGGCGCCAUCCCAUACGGCCGGACUGGAGGGCUGCAGAGGUCGAUGGAAUUGCCGGUGUAGUGGUGAAAUGCGCAGAUAUCGGGAGGAACACCAGUAGCGAAGGCGACACUCUGGGCCGGUACUGACGCUGAGGAGCGAAAGCGUGGGGAGCAAACAGG
rnacentral:rRNA from 1 species